ACUAUCAUCAUCAUCAUCACCAUUAUUAUUACCAUUUUUCCCCAACAAGUAUGUACAAUCCUCUGGUAAGUCACAGUCAUAACAAACAUGAGAACGGCCUAAUUUGUGGAGGCCUUUCUCUGUGUUGCCCCUUGUAAUCUACAGCAUAUAAAGCAGGCACAAUUGUCCCCAUUUUACAAACGAGAACAACCGAGGCUCGGGUGACUGACUAAUCUGCCCAGUAAAAGAGCCAGUACGUAUGCUCUCUGCUACUCCAGGGUACAGCUCCCCUGGGCCCGGUGGGUGUAAUCUCUCCUCUAAAUUUUCUCCUUCAGAUCUUCACAGCAGGAUGGUCAAUGGCUCCAAUCAAUACAUGCAUCAGUUAUCAGCUUAUUCUGUUUUCUUAAGAAAAGUAGACUGCUGGGUUCGAUUAUGCCUCAAUUGAUGUCUGGUAUGAGCCAGGUUUGCAUCCUGGCUUCCUGCCUGCUUUCCCAGAUCUUCCCCCAGCCACAAGCCCAUAAGCGCUCCACCCCAUGGGAUCCCCUGGUCAAGGUCCCAGACCCGUCUCAACGGCCUUGGCCCAGUUGGCUCUCAUAGCCUUGGUCUCCUCAUCACCAGGUACGGGGAAGGAGGCAAUGGUAAUAUCAACUCUGCUCACCGAAUAUGGCUCUUGUGACACCAGAAUGACACAACAGCAGGGAAAGGCUUGGUAAGUUGGCAGUGGUUCAACUGGCCAAGGGAGGCCGUCACUGCCACUGGCCCACACGGCAGCAUUCACUGCACUCUGUGUGCCACCUCGUGCUUGUUUCUCUCUGUUCCUAUCCACUUUUCAGUUCAAUGGGUUCCUAAGGGAAAGAGCCCAAGUCAGCUCCAUUUUCACCCAGCCCGUGGUAGGCAGUCAAGUGUCUGAGUGAAAUGAUGCACCAGUUCAAAUGAAGCCCUGCGGGCUUAGGAAACAAAAGACUCUCAGGGUCUUAUCCUUUUCCCAGCUUCCAUCUGUUCCCCCCAGCCUCUAGAAACUCACUCCCUUAGGACAGCCCAUUCCUCAUCAAAGUUUCCCCUUGUAUUGAGCUAAAUUCUGUCUCUAGGUCACUUUCUACCUACCCUCCAUCCCACCCAAUGAGACUACCCCCUUUCACAAGACAACCCCUUAUGGACUUGAACAUCCUUGGGCACCCUCCUUCUGUGGCCAAGCACUCCUUAUUUUCUAUAUGCGUACAGUGUUUUCAGGCCAAUCACAUCCCUGCCUUCUACGCAUUUGUCUUUAUUGAUGUGGGCUCUGAACUGAGAAUGGUCAGCUUCUUCAACACAGAGACGGGACAGAGGUCUGAAUUCCUCUGCCCUCUGCCUAAACAGAUGCUGGUCAACUGUGUUUGUACGUAUUAUCUGCCAAUGUGUUUUUAUACUUUAUCUAGAGUACACUGCUCACAAUUUUAGUAAAUGAGAUAAUGGCAUGGACUGGGUUCUCAUCCUGAGCGCUGCAGCAAGAUGCUGUAUCAUGAAUCCUUUAAAAACAAAUCACCAGAUUCUAACGGUUGGGUCUGGCAGACAUUAUUAGUUGCCUACCCAACUAUCUUUUCAUUCCCUCUCUUUCAUGCUAACAGAACCUGGAUUUUGUUUAUAGAAACAUCCUACCCCUAGCACUACCCCUAGUCCUACCAAUCCUGGUUCCUACUUUCCCAGUUUCUGUGGUAGCAAGUGCUGGUCAUAUGACCUGGUUCCAGCCAAUGGGCUGUAAGGGGAAGUCCAUGUUGGGGGCUUCCGGGAAUGGUUUUGCUUUUCUGGUAGGAGAAACAGAUAUGUUUGGUGCAACUCUGUUGCCUUUCUCCUGCCCUGACCUGGAAGGUGAAGGUUAGAGCUGUGGUAGCCAAGUGAGGACGUCAAAGAACACCAAAAAAAGACAGAAAGAGCCUGGGAAAUGCCAGCAACUGCCGAUCUCCAGAAUCCCUGGUGCAUCAGCGUCCAGAGGCAGCGGCUGCCACGUCCUGGAUCAGAUGUCCACUUGCUGACUUGGGAGAACAAAAGUAUGUUUGGUGUGUGCGAUGAAAAUGAUCCAGUAGUGAGGAAGCGACUGAUGAUGCUGGAAGCAGAAAUGAUACUCCAGGACUGAAGUCCCUGAUAAAGAAGGAGAAAGAGUCAGAGCACAGGUCAGGAGACUGGCUUCUGACAGGAGCAGAGAUCGCUCUCACAGGGGUGAAGACAGAAAACAACAGGUAGAUUUGUGGAUCCAGCAGCAGGUGGAUAAGAAACUCCCCCACUUGCUUGUUUCUACUUUUUCAAGAAAAUGGAAAGCAAGGUCAUCAGCCAAGGAUUGGGAAGAGAGGCUAUGGGAGAUUCAAAACUCCCUUCUGGAUCACAGAAGAAAAUCAAUUAUAUCACAUGAUGCAGAAUAUCCAUCUCCAAUCCUACUUUGUGGUACCACUCCAGGGCCUUCCCUGAAGAGUAGAGAGCAUGAUGAAAAUGGCUAUGAUUAUGAUUCCCAUUUUACAGAGGAGAAAAGCAGGCUUACAGAGGUUUAAGUAAGGCACCCAAGGAGCUGAUUAGCAGUGACGCUGGGGACUCACCGGGUCUGUCUGACCACUGAACCAAUUAUUUAAUGCUCUGGCACACCCAAAGUCCUGAAUGAACAGUAGUAAGAUUUGGCACAGACAAGAUCAUCCUCUAUGACUUCAUUCAGUCAACAUUUCCCCAGCCAGAGGUCAUCGGGUCAUCGUGCCUGAGUGGCCCAGAUGCUUUAGGCCACAUGGUAAGAUCUCGUGAACUGUCAGACGUGUGCGUGCGUAUGCAUCUGUGUGCACGCGUAUGAGAAGGAAAGCGGUCCGAGGGAGAUACAGAUACAUAUCGGCAUUCUUGGGCUCUAGUUCAGAACUAUUCUCCGAAGUGCUGGAGAGUUGGUUUGUCUCAGAGCACUAAUGCAUUUUGGAAAAGAGAAAGAAUUUUUAAAGGCAAGCCAUCUCUCAUCCUCUUUCUUCAUUCACAGGGCCAGAAAAGUGGUAUUUCUGGCAGGGGCUAGAGGCAGAAUACUCUAUAAAUACAAAGCCAUUAAAUCCCAUGCAGCGGGAACCUGAUCGGAGCCUCCUUUUAAUUUCCUGACAUGAGCUGGCCACUAACCCAAUUACCCAGAAUCCCCGGAGGAGCCCUCCGCCCUCCCAACAAGCACAAAGAGAGUGAGAGCAUAUUGCAUGGAUGUCGGCCCAGCUUUCACUGAAAUCAAAUAUCUUUUAGAAAACACUUGGGGAAAAGGCAGGCAAGGGCUGAGGGGAGGAGGAAGUGGAGCGGGACAGGGAGGCUGCUGGCCCGAGGCAGGUGAAGUGAGGUGAGGAGAAGGUGAAGUUCGCAGGACAGGCCUUCCAGGGAGAGCUGCUGAAAGCCCAGAGCCGUGCUGAAGCGUGCGGGCUUCCUGUGAAAGGCAGCAAAUGGUUUUCCAGGUCCUUCGGCUCAGAGGCUGGCAGGCCACACCCCAGCCAGGCAGGGAAGCCCAACUAUCGGGGGAGAGCUGCUCCGCUGCUGUCCCGAGGGGACCUGUCAUCCUGACUUUACACCCCAGACAGGGGGCCAGCCCCAGACGGAGGUCACCCCUGAGAUGCCCACCAGCGAAUCCAGGAGGAAGAUCAGGAUGAUCAGGAUGAGGUGAGUAUGUCUCACCUCACGCGAGACCGCCUUUGAACCAACUACUCUAAUAACACGCCCAGAAAGGUGACGGCUUAAAGCAAUCCCACGGUGGAUUUCACCAAGGAGUCCUUCCACGUGGUCCCCCCGCCCCGCUUGACCUGCAGGUGUCAACACCCCUGCUCCCCAGGUGAAGAAAUGGAGGCCCAGGAGUGUAAGCCAGAGAGAGAACGUACACGGCAGGAUUCCCUCAGAGCCAGGAGCGAGGGCGCAGGCCCCAACCCUCAACCCAGUGUGGAUUUUGUGUCCGAUUUCUUAUGAAGAGAAAAGUCACUUUUUUUCUCUGAAAAAGCAGACUUUCACACACUGAAUUUGCUUAAAGGGAGACAGACCUGGGUAAUGCCUACAUGGAACAGUCGAUGAUGAUGAUUCCAGAGCCGACGGCCCCAAGGCAGGGGGGAGGCUGAGUCACAAGA